UACGAAGGGGGCUAGCGUUGCUCGGAAUGACUGGGCGUAAAGGGCGCGUAGGCGGCUCACAGAGUCGGACGUGAAAUUCCUGGGCUUAGCCUGGGGGCUGCGUUCGAUACCUGUGGACUAGAGUGGGGAAGAGGGUCGUGGAAUUCCCAGUGUAGAGGUGAAAUUCGUAGAUAUUGGGAAGAACACCGGUGGCGUAGGCGGCGACCUGGUCCUUUACUGACGCUGAGGCGCGAAAGCGUGGGGAGCAAACAGG
rnacentral:rRNA from 1 species